rnacentral:rRNA from 1 species
AUUGAACGCUGGCGGGAUGCUUUACACAUGCAAGUCGAACGAGUGGCGGACGGGUGAGUAAUAUAUCGGAACGUGCCCAGUAGCGGGGGAUAACUACUGGAAAGAGUGGCUAAUACCGCAUACUAUUGGAUCUGCCGAGAUGGGAUUAGCUAGUUGGUGGGGUAAAGGCUCACCUAGGCCACGAUCCGUAGCUGGUUUGAGAGGAUGACCAGCCACACUGGGACUGAGACACGGCCCAGACUCCUACGGGAGGCAGCAGUGGGGAAUAUUGCACAAUGGGCGCAAGCCUGAUGCAGCCAUGCCGCGCGUAUGAAGAAGGCCCUAGGGUUGUAAAGUACUUUCAGUCGGGAGGCGUUACCGACAGAAGAAGCACCGGCUAACUCCGUGCCAGCAGCCGCGGUAAUUC